rnacentral:lncRNA from 1 species
GUAGUAAACCCACCUGUCUCUGGACAGCAGGUCCAAAGUCCUGGUAAAGGGUGAUGGCUAC